GCGAUUCUAUCUCAGUGGUAAAGUUUCUGACUGCCAAUCAGAGCUUUUGGAAGGCACGGGUUCGAGUCCCGUGGGUGGCA